rnacentral:lncRNA from 1 species
GUGAUGAAGGUUGACGGCGGUGGCUUCAAGGUGGCUGACGGCGAGGACGCUCGAGGUUGACGGCGGCGGCUGCGGAAGUUGACGGCUAGGGUUUCACUGCAGAGGGAAAUUAGGGUUUCAGUGUGGAAGAUGAUGACGUGGCAAGAAGAUGAGGUGGCAUGUUCUGAUUGGAUCUGGUUUAUUUAGUGGUAGGAGGGGUAUGGGUAGGAAAAUUAGGAGGUGUAGGAGAAAAGGGUUACUGGGCUUCAGUAUUGGCCUGGUUUAGAUGAGAGGGGUGCAUGUAGGGAAAUCUGGGGGUGCAAGGGUAAAAAUUGACUGUUUGGCCCAUUUGUACAUUAUUUAUGAAAUAAAAUCUGAUUUUGGGCUUUAAAUUGCAAUUUGGACCAAUAAAUCUCUAACUUCAGCUGCACAAAUAAAUAUUAGUACAUCCAAGAAUAAUUUAUGCAAUUAAAAUCACUUUUUAAGCCUCUUUAAUUCCAAAACCUAACAAUUCAACUCCACACAUAUUCACUUUAAAUCACCCA